UCAUAAAAUAAGCAUGUGUACUAAAUAUUGGACCAAUAUAGAGAAGAUUAGCACUGCCUCUGCACGAGGGCAACAUGCAAAUUUGUGAAGUGUUCUACAUUUUU
rnacentral:snRNA from 1 species